rnacentral:rRNA from 1 species
CCUGGUGUCUUUACUAAAUCGGAACCACACCAAACCAUCCCGAACUUGGUUGUUAAACGUUUUAGGAGUGACAAUACUGAAAGGGGGGCCUUUUGGGAAGAUAGCUUGAUGCCAGGA